rnacentral:sRNA from 1 species
GUUCUGGAGACUCAACAUGAAGCUACCGGCCAGGGUUUUCUUUACUCUGGGGUCCCGGCUGCCCUGUGGCCUCGCUCCUCGGCGGUCUGAAAAAUGAGUAAAGAUGGAAGCCAAAGUAUCACUUUUAUUGUGGUUUGUGAGAGGAAGCUGGGCCUAUCAGCUGGAUCUCCCGAAGUAGGCGGAUUUAGAUAACUCUGGAGGAGGGCAGAACAUUGCCCUCUGAAGGCAGCUGGCUCCCAAAAGGAAGAAGACCAAGGAGAACUGUUCAUACCCAACGAUCCUGUCAAAAUUUACCAGUCAUAUCAACUGUCUCUGCGCAGACAGAUUGUACCUCAGUCUGUGUUGCUAUAAAGGAAUACCUGAGGCUGGGAUGAAGAUGGUACUACGACAUUCAUGAUGGAUCUGCCACCAUAACCCAGGCACCUCCCAUUAGACCCCACCUCCAACAUUGGGGAUCACAUUUCAACAUGAGUUUUCAAGGGACAAACAUCCAAACAUCCUUAGCAGGUUGACUAAGGGGACAGAAAGAAGCCUGGAGUUGUACUACCUGAACUUCUCACAGUAGGG